rnacentral:rRNA from 1 species
AAACUUUCAACAACGGAUCUCUUGGUUCUGGCACCGAUGAAGAACGCAGCGAAAUGCGAUAAGUAAUGUGAAUUGCAGAAUUCAGUGAAUCAUCGAAUCUUUGAACGCACAUUGCGCCCCCUGGUAUUCCGGGGGGCAUGCCUGUUCGAGCGUCAUU